GGAAGUAAAAGUCGUAACAAGGUUUCCGUAGGUGAACCUGCGGAAGGAUCAUUACCUAGAGUUGCGGGCUUUGCCUGCCAUCUCUUACCCAUGUCUUUUGAGUACCUUACGUUUCCUCGGCGGGUCCGCCCGCCGACUGGACAAUUUAAACCACUUGCAGUUGCAAUCAGCGUCUGAAAAAACUUAAUAGUUACAACUUUCAACAACGGAUCUCUUGGUUCUGGCAUCGAUGAAGAACGCAGCGAAAUGCGAUAAGUAGUGUGAAUUGCAGAAUUCAGUGAAUCAUCGAAUCUUUGAACGCACAUUGCGCCCCUUGGUAUUCCAUGGGGCAUGCCUGUUCGAGCGUCAUUUGUACCUUCAAGCCUUGCUUGGUGUUGGGUGUUUGUCUCGCCUCUGCGCGUAGACUCGCCUCAAAACAAUUGGCAGCCGGCGUAUUGAUUUCGGAGCGCAGUACAUCUCGCGCUUUGCACUCAGAACGACGACGUCCAAAAGUACAUUUUUACACUCUUGACCUCGGAUCAGGUAGGGAUACCCGCUGAACUUAAGCAUAUCAAUAAGCGGAGGA
rnacentral:rRNA from 3 species